UGUGAGAGACAGCUGGCUAUAUAGAGGGACUGCAGAGUGUGAGAGACAGCAGGGUAUACAGAGAACAUGCAGAAUAUGAGAGACAGCUAGAGCGUGACCUGCGGAACAUCUCCUGAGUGCACGUUUAGCGAUGGAAGCAUCUGCAGAACAUGGGACAAUUGGACAGCUCUUUCUGGCUCUGUAUGAGAUGGGCUUCGAGGAGUCGCAGGUGCAGGCUGCCCUCAGAGCAGGGUGUUUCAAGGUUCAGGAUGCUGCAG